rnacentral:rRNA from 1 species
AGUGAACGCUGGCGGCGUGCUUAACACAUGCAAGUCGAACGAGAACGGAUUAUAGCUUGCUAUAAUUGUCAGCUAAGUGGCGCACGGGUGAGUAAUGUAUAGGUAAUAUGCCUCUUACUAAGGGAUAACAAAUGGAAACGUUUGCUAAUACCUUAUACUCCUUAUUAACAGAAGUUAAUAAGGGAAAGAUUUAUUGGUAAGAGAUUAGCCUGUAUUGUAUCAGUUAGUUGGUGGGGUAAUGGCUUACCAAGACUAUGACACAUAACUGGUUUGGGAGAAUGAUCAGUCACACAGGAACUGGGACACGGUCCAGACUCCUACGGGAGGCAGCAGUGGGGAAUAUUGCACAAUGGACGAAAGUCUGAUGCAGCAACGCCGCGUGGAGGAUGACACAUUUCGGUGCGUAAACUCCUUUUAUAUGAGAAGAUAAUGACGGUAUUAUAUGAAUAAGCACCGGCUAACUCCGUGCCAGCAGCCGCCGUAA